UACGAAGGGUGCGAGCGUUGUUCGGAAUUACUGGGCGUAAAGGGCGCGCAGGCGGCCUUAGAAGUCAGAUGUGAAAGCCCCGGGCUCAACCUGGGAAUGGCAUUUGAUACUCUGAGGCUGGAGUACGGGAGAGGAGAGUGGAAUUCCCAGUGUAGAGGUGAAAUUCGUAGAUAUUGGGAAGAACACCGGUGGCGAAGGCGGCUCUCUGGACCGUAACUGACGCUGAGGCGCGAAAGCGUGGGGAGCAAACAGG
rnacentral:rRNA from 1 species